GACGAACGCUGGCGGCGUGCUUAACACAUGCAAGUCGAACGGAAAGGCCCUGCUUUUGUGGGGUGCUCGAGUGGCGAACGGGUGAGUAACACGUGAGUAACCUGCCCUUGACUUUGGGAUAACUUCAGGAAACUGGGGCUAAUACCGGAUAGGAGCUCCUGCUGCAUGGUGGGGGUUGGAAAGUUUCGGCGGUUGGGGAUGGACUCGCGGCUUAUCAGCUUGUUGGUGGGGUAGUGGCUUACCAAGGCUUUGACGGGUAGCCGGCCUGAGAGGGUGACCGGCCACAUUGGGACUGAGAUACGGCCCAGACUCCUACGGGAGGCAGCAGUGGGGAAUAUUGCACAAUGGGCGGAAGCCGGAUGCAGCAACGCCGCGUGCGGGAUGACGGCCUUCGGGUGGUAAACCGCUUUCGCCUGUGACGAAGCGUGAGUGACGGGAAUGGGUAAAGAAGCACCGGCGAACUACGU
rnacentral:rRNA from 1 species